AGUCUAUGAGGAGGGACCUACAAAGACUGGAAACUAUUCUUAGCUCCGUCACUGACUCCAAGUUCAUCCCCUCUGUCUUUCAGUUUGGGUAAACAAUCAUGGGGCCUGGAAAAUGAGGCUUUAAUUGUAAGAUGUCCUAGACACGGAAAACCUAGUUACACAGUGGAUUGGUAUUACUCACAAACAAACAAAAAUAUUCCCACCCAGGAAAGAAAUCGUGUGUUUGCCUCAGGCCAACUUCUUAAGUUUCUACCAGCUGAAGUUGCUGAUUCUGGUAUUUAUACCUGUAUUGUCAGAAGGUAUUAUGCAGAAAGCUCCCAUCUUUCACCCUGCUCCCCUUUCUUGAAUGGUUGAUUGCCUGAGCUGCCCUUGCUUUCAUUCCUUCCCUAGUCUUUUCUGGAACAGUUAAAUUUAUAAAGUGAUUUGAAUAAAAGUGAUUUGGAUAAACUUCUAGGAAUACUAUCAGGUUGACGUCUAGCUCAUUCUGAGCUAUUUGGAUUUACAAUUGCAGGGAUUAAUUUGUAGCUGACUUAGAGAAAAACCUAGCUUUCCUAGUGACCAAGAUAACUGAGAGCAAUUGCUUACGCUUGGCUGGAAUUAAGAACAAACUAGCACAGAAAAUAGUAAUCUGGAUGUUUUCCAUCUCAGGGGGCCUCUAGUAGGUGAAAAGGGGCUUUUAACCUUCAAGUUAAGCCACAGAAGGCUGAUGAGAUUG
rnacentral:sRNA from 1 species